AUGACGCGAAAUGUCGCGAUUGGGACUUGGGACUUGGACGAGGACGAGGACGAGGACGAGACGCGCGCGUGUGUGCGUGGCUCGGAAAAUUGGCCCCGUUGCUCGGGUUGGUUUUUCAUGCCUAGUGCGGCAGAACCGGCGUUGUUCGAUGCUUCCAUUUGCCUGCAUGCCUUGGCAUCGCGGGGGGUGGUACGUUACGCAAUGUUGGAUCUUGCUGACGCGGGGGCGUGUGAGUGGCAUUGCGGAUGUUUGUGUUUGCUGGCUCCAUGCUUUUGCACCGAACGGUGA
rnacentral:lncRNA from 1 species